GGUCACCAAACUUGUUCCUGGAGGUUCGGUGUCCUGCAGAUUUUAGGUCCAACCCUAAUCAAACACACCUGAACAAGCUAAUCAAGGUCUUACUAGGUAUAAACACCCAGGCAGGUGUGUUGAGACAAGUUGGAGCUAAACCCUGCAGGGCACCAAAUCUCCAGAAACGAGAUUGUUGACU
rnacentral:miRNA from 1 species